GGUAUCAAAUUUGUAAAAUUUCAAGACUUGUAGAUCUCUUCGUUUUGCAUAUAUCGUUCUGGGUCUCAAUUUCAAUAUUAUUUAGAUGUAUAAAUUGUGAAUAUUGGUAUAGUAGAAGUUGGGCACAUCGAAUACAUGGGCUUCAAUGUCAAGGCUUUAUGGGAAAUAUUUCCGGGAAAAGAGCAAUUCCACGGAGCAAAUCGUGGAUACCAAAUUGUUAGAUCGUGAUGAAUCCAAGGUAACUGUCAUUUAUUUUCUUUGGUUUUCGCUAAUCGUUGAUUAAGUGGUCUUAGACCGUUUGGGUUUUUGCUUUGAAUACACCACUUUUCCAUUCCCAUGAGUUACAGAAUAGAAUCUACAGUAUCGAGACUUAGAAGUGUGGUAUAUAGUUAAAUUUCAUUUUUGUUUCUAAAUUUCGAAUCUCUUUGUUCUCUGUUGCAAAAGGAUAUCUUUCUUUUCUAUAACUCAGUAACUUUGGUUUUCUGUACUUAUUUUUUUUUGGGCAGCAACAAGUUAGACAUAAAAGAGAAUGGAGAAAGUUAUAGGUGAAAACAACAGCACGAUGAAAGAGUAUGCACAAGAUCUCCAUCUUUAAGGUUUCUCAAACAUAUUUAUCAGGCUAUUGAUCCGGUUAUAAGGGUGAAAUCUCCAGAUCAGCCACCAUGUUUCUGAUCACAAAGACACAAUUGGCGAUGAUAAUUGAAGACAAGAGAUGAGACUCAGACUGAGAUUGUUAUACACGUGUAUUUGCUCUUAUACCACCUAUAUUCAAUUUAGUUCUCUUUUUCAUUUUUAAAUGUUUUCUGAAAUAUUCGGUAAUAAA
rnacentral:lncRNA from 1 species